rnacentral:lncRNA from 1 species
CUGCGAUUAUGACCUGUCAUAUGCUUAAAUUACCUGAUUUAGCUCUAGAAGCCGUUGUUAUUUUGUAUCGCCGCAAUAUCACCAUGGUGGAUACCCCGGGUAGUUUAGAUCUCUGUUACGCUCGUGCUGGGAUGCCGAGUGUAUUUUUACAGUAGUGUUCAGACUGUUCCGGAUAGUUGGGUGCCGUUAGGAUUGACGGUGGACCCAAUUUGCCGUGUUGGUAUCAGAUUGUGUCGAGAGCACGU